ensembl:lncRNA
AAAAUGGAGGUUGUUGAGGGAAAACGACUCUGAUGCGGCUAGGUAGGCGGUAACUGCUGAUAAUCACAUGGCUACCGGCUACCGGCGAAAAUAACGGAGGAAAUCUGGACGAGACACGAGCAGAUAAAAUGGUGUGAAGUCCAGCCAAGGUCUAGUGAGUAUCACAACCACUUUUCAGGAUGAAACAACAAAGAUCCAUUAGCACCAUAUGUUAUCUCACUAGGAGCAUACCCUGAUAUUGCCUGGCAUGCAUACAAACUGACACCCUGGACCUAUUCUUGUUCCUUGUGGAAAUUCUGGUACGAGAGAGGAGUUAGAGACUGGUGAGAUGCCAAGAGAGACAGAAGAGGAGUGAGAGUGUUUCCCCUGCUUUUCCCUGCAGAUCUGAACCCUGCACCCUUGUAUAUAGCACUUCUCCACUGUUGCACAUUUCACCUGGUGUUUGCAAAUAAAGCCCCUG